rnacentral:rRNA from 1 species
UACGUAGGGGGCAAGCGUUGUCCGGAAUUAUUGGGCGUAAAGCGCGUGUAGGCGGCCUGAUAAGUCCGCUGUGAAAUCUCGAGGCUCAACUUCGAGCUGUCGGUGGAAACUGUCUGGCUAGAGUCCGGAAGAGGAGAAUGGAAUUCCUGGUGUAGCGGUGAAAUGCGCAGAUAUCAGGAAGAACACCCGUGGCGAAGGCGGUUCUCUGGGACGGUACUGACGCUGAGACGCGAAAGCGUGGGGAGCGAACAGG